GCACUGCUGAGGAGUCCUACAAAAUAGGACGAAACGGCCGUCCAAUUC
rnacentral:hammerhead_ribozyme from 1 species